UGGAUCACUUGGCUCGAUGGUCGACGAAGAACGCAGUGAAUUNCGUUAAUAAGUGCGAAUUACAGAUNUCCNGAGCACCAUGUUUCUGAAUGCAUANUGCGCCGUUGGNUUUUACUCUUCGGCAUAUGUUAGUCAGGGUGUAUUU
rnacentral:rRNA from 1 species